GAUGAACGCUGGCGGCGUGCCUAAUACAUGCAAGUCGAGCGAACAGACGAGGAGCUUGCUCCUCUGACGUUAGCGGCGGACGGGUGAGUAACACGUGGAUAACCUACCUAUAAGACUGGGAUAACUUCGGGAAACCGGAGCUAAUACCGGAUAAUAUAUUGAACCGCAUGGUUCAAUAGUGAAAGACGGUUUUGCUGUCACUUAUAGAUGGUUCCGCGCCGCAUUAGCUAGUUGGUAAGGUAACGGCUUACCAAGGCAACGAUGCGUAGCCGACCUGAGAGGAUGAUCGGCCACACUGGAACUGAGACACGGUCCAGACUCCUACGGGAGGCAGCAGUAGGGAAUCUUCCGCAAUGGGCGAAAGCUUGACGGAGCAACGCCGCGUGAGUGAUGAAGGUCUUCGGAUCGUAAAACUCUGUUAUUAGGGAAGAACAAAUGUGUAAGUAACUAUGCACGUCUUGACGGUACCUAAUCAGAAAGCCACGGCUAACUACGUG
rnacentral:rRNA from 1 species